rnacentral:rRNA from 1 species
CCUACGGGGGGCAGCAGUGAGGAAUAUUGGUCAAUGGACGAGAGUCUGAACCAGCCAAGUAGCGUGAAGGAUGACUGCCCUAUGGGUUGUAAACUUCUUUUAUAUGGGAAUAAAACGUUCCACGUGUGGGAUUUUGUAUGUACCAUAUGAAUAAGGAUCGGCUAACUCCGUGCCAGCAGCCGCGGUAAUACGGAGGAUCCGAGCGUUAUCCGGAUUUAUUGGGUUUAAAGGGAGCGUAGGUGGAUUGUUAAGUCAGUUGUGAAAGUUUGCGGCUCAACCGUAAAAUUGCAGUUGAAACUGGCAGUCUUGAGUACAGUAGAGGUGGGCGGAAGUCGUGGUGUAGCGGUGAAAUGCUUAGAUAGCACGAAGAACUCCGAUUGCGAAGGCAGUUCACUGGACUGCAACUGACACUGAGGCUCGAAAGUGUGGGUAUCAAACAGGAUUAGAUACCCGGGUAGUC